GAGAGAGAGAGAGAGAGAGAGGAAAAAUAAAGAGAAAACUAAACUUAUGUUAUUAUCUUAAUCGUCGCGGUGAAUUAAAAGGGGUUGUGGCAAUGUCUGGUCCAAGUCUUGUCUGUUGUGGCAAUCGAAUUAUAUGCGUUGAAGUUGGGGUUAGAGUUGGCGAUUGAUGCAAACCACAAUCGCCAACCUGCUUCCCCUGGUUGUCCAGUUGAUUUUACAGGAAGAUGAUUGUUUGACGGGGACAGGAAAUUAUGUGGAGGAGGUGCUGCAAAUUAUACAUCCUUGUCAUUAAUUUGGUGUUGCAUUCAAUUCCAAGGGGUGUUAAUGGAGUUGCUCAUCAGGUUUACUGUUCGCAAGCAAGGGCUAUCAUUUAGAUGGAUGUGGGGCCACCGUGGCUAAUGGAUUGUAUCAAUAGUGAAAUCGUAGUAGUUUGAGGUUUGAUUCUUGGUUUAUGUUGGCAUGCCUGGCCCUUUUUUCAUUUCUCGGAGUUUUUUCUAGGGGUUUUUGAACUUUAAUCCCUCAAGAAGAUUAAAAUUUAAAAAAAA